rnacentral:rRNA from 1 species
UACGUAGGGGGCAAGCGUUGUCCGGAAUUAUUGGGCGUAAAGAGCGUGUAGGCGGUCCGGUAAGUCAGCUGUGAAAGUCAAGGGCUCAACCCUUGAAAGCCGGUUGAUACUGUCGGGCUAGAGUCCGGAAGAGGCGAGUGGAAUUCCCGGUGUAGCGGUGAAAUGCGCAGAUAUCGGGAGGAACACCAAUGGCGAAGGCAGCUCGCUGGGACGGUACUGACGCUGAGGAGCGAAAGCGUGGGGAGCAAACAGG